rnacentral:rRNA from 1 species
UUCCUGUCAUUUAGAGGAAGUAAAAGUCGUAACAAGGUUUCCGUAGGUGAACCUGCGGAAGGAUCAUUACAGAGUUCAUGCCCUCACGGGUAGAUCUCCCACCCUUGAAUACUUAUACCUUUGUUGCUUUGGCGGGCCGCUUCGGCUACCGGCUUCGGCUGGUGAGUGCCCGCCAGAGGACCCAAAACUCUGAAUUAUAGUGUCGUCUGAGUACUAUAUAAUAGUUAAAACUUUCAACAACGGAUCUCUUGGUUCUGGCAUCGAUGAAGAACGCAGCGAAAUGCGAUAAGUAAUGUGAAUUGCAGAAUUCAGUGAAUCAUCGAAUCUUUGAACGCACAUUGCGCCCCUUGGUAUUCCGAGGGGCAUGCCUGUUCGAGCGUCAUUAUAACCCCUCAAGCUCAGCUUGGUGUUGGGGCCUGCUGCACUGGCAGCCCUUAAAAUCAGUGGCGGCGCCAUCUGGCUCUAAGCGUAGUAAUUCUUCUCGCUAUGGAGUCCUGGUGGAUGCUUGCCAUCAACCCCCAAUUUUUAUAUGGUUGACCUCGGAUCUGGUAGGA